UCACGGGAGACACACGGCGGGUGCUAACGUCCGUCGUGAAGAGGGAAACAACCCAGACCGCCAGCUAAGGUCCCAAAGUCAUGGUUAAGUGGGAAACGAUGUGGGAAGGCCCAGACAGCCAGGAUGUUGGCUUAGAAGCAGCCAUCAUUUAAAGAAAGCGUAAUAGCUCACUGGUCGAGUCGGCCUGCGCGGAAGAUGUAACGGGGCUAAACCAUGCACCGAAGCUGCGGCAGCGAACGUAUCACUUAAAGCGAUUCAGCGGGUUACGAUUGACGGAGCGAAGCGACGUCAAAGCGUAUACAAAGUCGAGUCGGUUUAAGGAUACGUUCGUUGGGUAGGGGAGCGUUCUGUAAGCCCGUGAAGGUGGCCUGUGAGGGUUGCUGGAGGUAUCAGAAGUGCGAAUGCUGACAUAAGUAACGAUAAAGCGGGUGAAAAGCCCGCUCGCCGGAAGACCAAGGGUUCCUGUCCAACGUUAAUCGGGGCAGGGUGAGUCGACCCCUAAGGCGAGGCCGAAAGGCGUAGUCGAUGGGAAACGGGUUAAUAUUCCCGUACUUGGUGUUACUGCGAAGGGGGGACGGAGAAGGCUAUGUUGGCCGGGCGACGGUUGUCCCGGUUUAAGCGUGUAGGUGUGUGUUCCAGGUAAAUCCGGUUCACUUUAACACUGAGGCGUGACGACGAGGCACUACGGUGCUGAAGCAACAAAUGCCCUGCUUCCAGGAAAAGCCUCUAAGCAUCAGGUAACACGAAAUCGUACCCCAAACCGACACAGGUGGUCAGGUAGAGAAUACCAAGGCGCUUGAGAGAACUCGGGUGAAGGAACUAGGCAAAAUGGUGCCGUAACUUCGGGAGAAGGCACGCUGACACGUAGGUGAAGUGAUUUACUCAUGGAGCUGAAGUCAGUCGAAGAUACCAGCUGGCUGCAACUGUUUAUUAAAAACACAGCACUGUGCAAACACGAAAGUGGACGUAUACGGUGUGACGCCUGCCCGGUGCCGGAAGGUUAAUUGAUGGGGUCAGCGCAAGCGAAGCUCCUGAUCGAAGCCCCGGUAAACGGCGGCCGUAACUAUAACGGUCCUAAGGUAGCGAAAUUCCUUGUCGGGUAAGUUCCGACCUGCACGAAUGGCGUAAUGAUGGCCUGGCUGUCUCCGCCCGAGACUCAGUGAAAUUGAACUCGCUGUGAAGA
rnacentral:rRNA from 1 species